UGGAAGAUAGGUUUUAUUUUAUCAAAUAUUUAACUUCGAAGUUGGAGAAAAAGGAAGCCAUCUCCAACUAAUCGAAGAGGCAGUUAUAAUCUGAGAAUCACUAGCUUCUGCUAUUAUAUGAGACCCCACAAACCUACCCUUCUCUUCAUCACUGGCCCAUCAUAUUCAUAUCUCAAAUAAUGAAACUCCCUUUUACAGACCAUGAAAUAAUCACUUUUCCAAUAAAUUUUAGCUCUUUGAGCAGAUGAUUACAGCCUUUAAAUCCAUGGCCCAUAUGGGAUUACCUCAUAUGGCACAACACAAACCUACCAAGCUUGUCCUUAGAGUAACCUACAAAUCCUAAAUUUUAGGAGUUUCUGUUUUAUCUGGCUCAGUCUUCUCCCUUUUCAUCAGGCUCCCCAUGCCACCAUGUCAAUGUUUCAUUUGAUAUGUGGCAUCUGGGGACUCUUGUCUUUGAGUUGUUGUACAGUUGUGGGUUGUUCUUCAUGCUGUUUGUAUCAGUUUUUUCAACAAAGCAAUCGAAGAUUUGAACAGAAAACUGAUAGGUUUUGGAAGUUCAGUGAAAUAGAUGGAAGAUGGGUUGAAGUGCAACUGCCUUGUGAUCUGUUAUCUAGUGGUAAUAGCAAGUGUAGUAAAGUUAACAGCAAAGAAGAAAGCUUGAAACAAGAACAUGGAUUUGAUGACAAAAAGAUAAGUCUGAACAGAAAGGAUGAUAAAAAAGGAGUAGAGGAAACCUUGGAAGUGGUUCUGCCUCUGAGAAAGAGGAUUUCCUUGACCAAAAUGUCUGAGACAUCUGUGUGGAUCACUGGUGAAAGUGGGUGUAUCUAUGAGAGGUUUUGGAAUGGACUAGAAUGGGUGAUAGCCCCUCAUGAGCUGCCAAUAUCAGCAGGACGUGCAGUUGCAGUUUUUAUCAUCAAUCAAAUAAUUCUUGCUCUAUCUGAAGCAGGAAAUCUGUAUCAGAUGCAUGUGCAACUUGGAGAAACCUCUCAACCAGUUUGGGUUGAAUUCUCACCUACACUCAAUCAAAUCACAGAUGAUAUAGAGAAAAAUUCUUUGAUAUUAAUUAAGUCUGGCAUGGUGUCAGAUGAUAGACUGAGAGCUUAUUUCUGCACUAGGAAUGGAACAUUGGUGGAACUAUCUGGGGAAGAGCCUACAAGAGCAGAUGGACAAAUCAUGGCCAACCAACCGGAGCAAAUUUAGCAGCAAUAGCUGCUGUUGAUUUUACACGAGAAGUAGUAUACACCAUAAGUUCUGCUGGUGAUCUUUAUGAAUAUGAUAGAAAAUCAAAACCAUCAUGGAAGAGGCACAUAUGGCAAGAAAAAACGGCACAAGCUGCACCUUUGAUACCAUCUAAAGGGUGCAUUUUACGUGGAUUAAGUGGUGACCAUUCUGAAUCUCUGUUUCUUUUAACCAAGGAGGGCACUUUGGUGGAGAGAAGAUUACAUCAAAGGAAGUGGAAAUGGAUAGUCCAUGGAAGUCCCCAUCAUCAAACUUUGACAUCUAUUACACCAGCUUUGCAGGAUGAAUUAAGUGAAACUUUAGUUUCUUUAUUCUUUACUACUUCAGCUGGAUCUGUUUUUGAAUAUCAAAGGCCAAAACAAUUAGGCACUGUUCCAAAUAAUCAGUUUCCAGGAGCAUGGGGAAGUCAUCAGCAUCCCUUACAUGCAAAAGCAGCAAGAGGUAUAACCGGCUUACCAUUACAAGUUGGGAGGAUACUAUUUGCACUCGAUGAUGGUAGACUUGCAGAAUUACAUUUAGUAGGACUAGGUGGUGAAAGUUCAGGACCAUUUGUACCUCAAAACUUUCGAAGGAAAGCAUCAACUAAAUAUGUUUGGACCAUAUUAGAUGUGCCAGAGAGUGAAGGAUGGAAUGCAGAAUAUUGCACAGAAGAACGUGGCCCCCGGAAUUGUAUGGCAGGAAUAAAAGAUGAGUCAAAGGAUUCAGGACUAAGUUCAGUAACAGGUAGGAGAAAGCAAAGCCAAGCACAAAAUCAUUACUUAUCUCUAGGCACAGGUGGUGAACCGAUUAAAUCUUCAGAAGAAUACAAUCUGCCAGAUGAUUGGAUUAGUAGUAACUUUCGCUUAAGGUUGAUGUAUGAAGGCAAGUCGUUUUUCAUAAUAACAAAUGAUGGUUUGAUUUUUGAAUACAUUUGUAUUGAGAGUGUAUGGGUAUGGUUGAGGCAUGAUAGCUCCACAGCUAUGAAUGGUAUAGUUGGGAACUAUAAUGGAAGUUUAUUCAUGGUUGAUACAUUUGGGAGUUUGCUGCUUAGAGAAUGGAGUGACAAUGAGAUAGCAUGGAGGAAUUGCACUGCAAUGAGGAAAGGAAGAAACAUUAUUGGAGGUCCACCAUGGGAUAGAUUACCAGGUAAAGGAAAGAGGGUCACAACUGAAGAUUCACUCUUCUUUGUGAGCAAAAAUGGAAGAUUACUGCAGUUCAUGGUAGGUAAACAGUAACACAAUUACUCAGAUGAAAAAAGAAGUCCAAGAUGACAGUAUACUUGCAAACUAUCUACUUUUUAAUUGCUUAGAAUAGUUAAACACUUCAAGUGACAAGGCUCAAUAAAUGUAUGCUGGAAGUGUGAAGGAAUAAGAAAACUUUAAAAAGUGUUUAGGUAAAGAACUUGAAUGAUUCCAUGUCCCUAGCAAAAGGAUAAUACCUUUUGAACCCUUGAGAACCUUUCUUUCCUGAAAAGUUCAUCACUUUACAAUUGAAAGCAACUAGCACCAACAAAUUAAUUCAACGUAGUCAAAUAAAAGUCAUAAUCAUCAUCAUCAACUUCGCUUAUUCAUAUAUAUUUAAUUGAAUAGCAAGUUUUAUUCAACACACGCACAUGGAUAAAUCUUAAGAUACGAAGUAACUGUUUACAUGUUCUACCCAGGUUUACAUGGGGAAGUUUAAAUGGAAAGAUUGCAGAAAUCCUCAAAAUGUUAAAGUUGCAAGUAUAGUUGACCAGGAAUUGUUCAGGGAAAAUAUAGUCUUUGUCACUGGAAGAAAUGGUCGCCUAUACCAGUAUAAUAAAGUGACUGAUUUGUGGCAUGAGCAUUACCAGUCUCGGCAUUUGAUUCUAUCACAGUUUCCUGGAACAGUUAUAAGACAAUCAUCAAAAUCACUCUCAGGCUCUCUCUUCAUGCUUUCAAGAGAAGGUGGCCUUGUUGAGUACCACUGGAAUACAUGGUAUUCAUGGAACUGGGUGGAACAUGGGACACCCUAUAAGGGUGUAACACUGGUUGGUUCACCUGGUCCUAGCUUUGAAGGCAAUCAACUACUUUUGAUUGGUUCAGAUGGAAAAGUAUACCUGAGAUACAUGGACAACAAUGCAUGGAAGUGGAAGGAUUAUGGUUUCCCCUCUAUGAGAAAUAAAAUUGUUGAGGCACAUAGUGAAGGAGGAAUCAAUGAGGAGAAAGCAGUUCAGAUUGAUGGAAAGUGUGCAUCUGGAUUGAACAAAGACCAAGAGAACCAUGAUGAUUUGAACUUCAACUGUGACUCAAAGGUGGCAUCUACAAGACCAAUUCCAUUUUCUGAAGGUUCUGUCAUAUUUGAGCUCAGAGAUGGCAGGUUAGCAGAAUUACAACUUGUAGAGGAGGCAGAAUGGAUUUGGUCAAGGAUCAUUGGCACUCCAAACAGUUUAUGCUUAGAAAAUUAUUGGAUUACAGUUGCAUCAUCAUAAGGUUGUCUGCAAUAUCUCAUAAGACAACGAAUGAUCAGAUAGAAGCAUUUGAUGUACAGUUCAGAGAGACAUUCUAGUUACAACUGAAGGGUUGACCUUCUUAUCUCCACCAGAGGCUGAAAUCGGUACUGUUGAUGUAAAAAACGCAGGGGAAAUGAGCCUUCUGAUCACUUGUAACAAACAUGUACAAAAUAAAAUACUGGCUACAGCAAGAAAGUAUGAAUGAGACAGUAUGCCCCAAUCAAUCCCUUAUUGUAUAGAUUAAUAUAAAAAUGCAGGCUUAGAUUAACCCCUUUUUUAGACAAAUAAUUAUGUUUUUAAAUUUUAUGAUUUUUCAUAGAA